UUUACGUAGAGUUUGACUGAGUAGCAUGAGCUGCUGUCGCUCGAUUUAGGUGACAGUGGCGACUCUUGAUUACGGUUAUCGUCACUCGAUGGAGGUGGCAAGGUUAUCGUCACUCGCUGAGUGGCAUGAGCUGCUGUCGCUCGAUUUAGGUGACAGUAGCGACUCUUUAAAUUACGGUUAUCGUCACUCUCUGAGUGGCAUGAGU
rnacentral:misc_RNA from 1 species